rnacentral:rRNA from 1 species
AACGAACGCGGGCGGCAUGCCUAACACAUGCAAGUCGAACGGGAUCCUAGCUUGCUAGGUGAGAGUGGCGGACGGGUGAGUAACACGUGGGAAUCUGCCUUUUGGUUCGGGAUAACCGCGGGAAACUGCGGCUAAUACCGAAUGCCCUCGAGAGAGGAAAGAUUUAUCGCCAGAAGAGGAGCCCGCGUCCGAUUAGGUAGUUGGUGGGGUAAAGGCCUACCAAGCCGACGAUCGGUAGCUGGUCUGAGAGGAUGAUCAGCCACACUGGGACUGAGAUACGGCCCAGACUCCUACGGGAGGCAGCAGUGGGGAAUAUUGGACAAUGGGGGCAACCCUGAUCCAGCAAUGCCGCGUGAGUGAUGAAGGCCUUAGGGUUGUAAAGCUCUUUUGCCAGGGAAGAUGAUGACUGUACCUGGAGAAUAAGCCCCGGCUAACUUCGUGCCAGCAGCCGCGGUAAU